rnacentral:rRNA from 1 species
AUUGAACGCUGGCGGCAGGCCUAACACAUGCAAGUCGAACGAGUGGCGGACGGGUGAGUAAUGUCUGGGAAACUGCCUGAUGGAGGGGGAUAACUACUGGAAACGGUAGCUAAUACCGCAUACCAUCGGAUGUGCCCAGAUGGGAUUAGCUUGUUGGUGGGGUAACGGCUCACCAAGGCGACGAUCCCUAGCUGGUCUGAGAGGAUGACCAUCCACACGGGAACUGAGCUAGGGUCCAGACUCGUACGGGAGUCAGAAGUGGGGAAUAUUGCACAAUGUGCGAAAGCCUGAUGGAGCCAUGCCGCGUGGAUGAAGAAGGCCUUCGGGUUGUAAAGUACUUUCAGCGGGGAGUCGUUACCCGCAGAAGAAGCACCGGCUAACUCCGUGCCAGAAGCCGCGGUAAUAC